CAGUCGCCGCGGUAAUACGAAGGGGGCUAGCGUUGCUCGGAAUCACUGGGCGUAAAGGGUGCGUAGGCGGGUCUUUAAGUCAGGGGUGAAAUCCUGGAGCUCAACUCCAGAACUGCCUUUGAUACUGAAGAUCUUGAGUUCGGGAGAGGUGAGUGGAACUGCGAGUGUAGAGGUGAAAUUCGUAGAUAUUCGCAAGAACACCAGUGGCGAAGGCGGCUCACUGGCCCGAUACUGACGCUGAGGCACGAAAGCGUGGGGAGCAAACAGGAUUAGAUACCCGUGUAGUCCCUGUCUCUUAUAC
rnacentral:rRNA from 1 species